ACGAGAUAAGACAUCACUUAGACUGUAGAGAU
rnacentral:guide_RNA from 1 species